UUCCCUCGAUCGCUGAGUCCCCUAUCCGAAUAUCCCGAGAGGAGAGACUAAAUUACCCAAAAAGACAGAAAAACCCUAGCAAGAUCAUGAGAAGUGAAGCAUAAUAUCGACGGAAAAAGUGACAAAACUCAUUGACAUUUCCGUAAUUUCAGUAACACUUAAACCCCGAUUUUGAGCCCCAUACUCGCUCUACCCCAAAAACGGAACGAAUCGCAUACUCGCAAGACGUAAUGACGAGUUGACGACUUCUCCUCGCAAUAUCAAAAUCUCCCAUGAAGAUACUUUCUCCCACUACCAAUAGAGAGUAUAGUGUUCAGCAGAGUUCUAAUGGAAACAAACGCAGGCGAAUCAAUCGUUCAUCGGCAUUGAAUUUCAGAACCGGAGUUUAGAAAUCCAGAAGGUUUUUCUUGGUUGAGGUCGAGGUUCAAGGGUAGGGAGAGGAUGAGGUGCUAGGGGGUUGAGGAGGACCACUACUUAAUCAAGCUUUACGCAAGUUUUCUCAUUGUGGUAAUCCCAAUCACUCCAUUGACAAGUGUUGGGAAAAGUAUGGUAAACAUGAGUGGGCACAACAGUUGGUUAAUUCAGCAGUGAUUGAUGGGUGUUCUAAUGUGGUGUUGUCUAAUGACACUGGGUUUGCUUCUACAUCUGGAGCUUGUCCAUCAAGCUCUAUGCCUCGAGAUGACCAAAUGAGCUACUUAAACGUCUUCAACAGCUCGAGUCUUCCACUUCUUCAUCCAUUGCCACACAAGCCCACACAAGUACUACUGCGCUUUUUGCCUCCUCUCCUAUUAGCUCAGUUUUUUACUUUAGUGCAUUCAAUCGUAUGACUGGUAAGUCUAAUGUCUUUUCUUUCUAUAAAACUAGUCAUCCAUCCUGGGUUACACUCGCUAAUGGAGCCUUUACUCAGGUUUUUGGUGGUGUUUGUAUAUCCCACUUCAUCAUUUUCAUUGUCUGUUCUUCAUGUAUCUCAAUUGCCCUUGAAUCUUUUAUCUGUGGUCAAAUUAAUAAGUCACAAAGUUGUUAUGUCUCUUUGUAUCAUUCUUAUUGUGCCUUCUAGGAUAUUCAUACAAAGAAUAAGAUUAGUGGAGGGCAUGAGAGGGGUGGUUUAUAUUUUCUUGAUCGUGAUUCUUUUUCUACUGUUGCAUUUGCUGCUUCUGGUGGUGUUUCCCCCCUUGGAUUGACAUUAUCAGUUAGGAAUUUGUUGCUCUCCAAGCUUCAACAAAUGGUUCAGGUGUUUAAAGCUGUCUUCUGUAUAGGUGUGAAGCUUGUGAGCUUGGCAAACAUCAUCAUACUUCCUUUCCUAUAAGGGAUGUUUUUAGGAGUCAUUUUUUGUUUUGUUUUAAGUUCACUCAGAUAUUUGGGGUCAUUUUCGUGUCCAGAGUCAGUCUGGUUUUAUGUACUUUGUUAGUUUGUUACUUUUGUGGACGAUCAUUCAUAUUUGACUUGGUUGUAUUUACUAAAAGCUCCUUCAUAAUUUUUAUCUAUUUUUAAAUGCUUUUUGUAAAGGGAAAAAAAAAAGUUUGGUGGUUUCUUUUAAUAACCUUUUUUUUCCGCUUGGAUAAUGCUUUGGAAUAUGCUACCAUUUCUUAUUUUUUCUCUAAGCAUGGUAUUUUACAUCAAAUUAGUUGCUCUCAGAAACAUGGUGUGGUUGAACGGAUGGACAGACACUUGUUAGGGAUUGCUUUUUUUUUUUAUGGUUUCAUAUGAAUAUUCCCAAAAGUUUAUUUUGGAGAGGGGGAGGAAGCAGUUUUAACCACUUGUUACUUGAUUAAUCGCAUUCCUUCUUUUGUACUUAAAAUAAAUCUCCUAUGAGUAUCACUUUUCCCUAUUCUCCCUUAUUUUCUUUGCCACCUCGUUUUUUUGGUUUACUGGUUUUGUUCAUGUUUUAUGUAUGGUAUUUAUAAUUAUCUCCUCAUGUGGUCAAAUAUUUUUUCUUGGAUAUUUGUGCACUUAAAAGGGUUAUCGUUUUUACAACCCUAUUAGCCACCAACAGUUUGUUAGUGCCGAUAUUACCUUCUUUGAGAGUACAUGUAUUUUUCUGGUGAGGGUCCUAAUAUGGCAACUAACAUUUUCUAGUCUCCUCUUAUCCCCAGUUUAGUUCCUUUUUUAGAUUACUGACUCGGUCCACACCUCUGCAAGUUCAUCAUUGAUGCUUUAAAUCGUCACUUGUGGCUAAAUUUCCUUCUUCAUUCCCCUUUACUCAAUUUGAUUCUUUGGCUAGAGUUAGUUCUUUCUCUGCACCUAUUGACUUACCGGUUGCUCUACGCAAAGAUACUCAUUCGUGCACCCAAUGGUGUAUGGUUGCUUACCUUAUUGACGACUUUGUUUCUGUGUCCUAUCUUCCAUCUUCCCUAUAUAGUUCUGCUUUGUCAUUGUUUGAACAUUCUAUCCAAAAAACCCAUCAUGAAGCAUUGUCUCAUUUGGGUGGAAGUCAGUUAUGGAUGCUCUGGUCUCCUGUAAGAUGUGGACCUUGGUUGAUCACCCUCUGGGUGAGGAGUCAGUGCGGUGUCGUUGGGUGUAUACUUUCAAGUACAUCCUUGAUGGAUCUGUUGAGUGGCCCUAUUGGUGGCUAAAGGGUACACUCAGAUUCAGGGUGUAGAUUCUUUUGAUAUGUUUCACUUGUUGCUCAGGGAGGGGAAGUAGAGAACAGCCAGGAGACCUCCUGGUGAGCGUGGGUUUUUGGCACACUACAGCUCACCAACUGCUCUAGGCAUUUGUUGUUACUUUCCCUUGCUAUUAAUCUUGAUUGACCGUUAUAUCAGCUUGACAUUAAAGAUGCUUUUCCUUAUGGUGGCAUACUUGAGGAUGUGUGCAUGGAGCUGAUGCAAUUAUCCGUAGGAAUUAGGAUUUAUCUCUUUGAGUUAAAAUUGUGAUUUUCUUUUUACAAUUUAUUCUUUAAUAGAGUCGUAGACAGAAUUGCAGUUAGACUUUGUUUCCAUUAGUGAGUGAGUCCAAGAUAGAGUCAGAUUAGGAAUAGGUUUUGUUUUGCUUAAUUCUAUAAUUAGUAGCUUGUAGUUCAUCUUUGGACAAAUUUGAUUUUGGAAUGAAUGACAAAGUUUGAGUUGACUCGUUGAUACUAUUUGUUGCUUUCUAUUUCCUUUACGAUUCUAAUGCUCUUCUCAGCUACCCUCUUCUCUUCCCUUCAUUUUUCGGUUUAAUCUUAGGCCUCGUUUGUUUGACGGAUAAAAAGGGGUGGGAAACUUAUGAAUUGGGUCCCACAUGUUGUGGGUUGGGUUGACAAGGAAAGGAAAGGAAAGGAAAGGAAGUGAUGGAGUAUUUAAUUUUUAGUGGGGUCUACCUCUAUGGGAAAGAGAGGAAAAGGAAAUGGGGUAGGAUUCUAAAAGAAAGAGAGGCAAGAGGAGGAGAAGAGAGAGAGACGCAAAACAACUUUUCCAUGAAGGCCUACCAAUUUUAGUAGGACUUUGGAAGUGUAUGGGGUAGGAAUAGUUAACUGCCACAUCAGCAGACAACAAUUAUUAUAUUUUUGUCUGAUAAGUUUCCCACCUAGCAAACAAACAACCGAGGUUUUUGGUAUUUUGAGGAAAAAUUCCUCAUUCUCUCACCCAUUUUUUUCCAUCAGACAAACUGGGCCUUAUUACACCCCCCUCAGUGCCCCCCCCCCCCCCCAAAAAAAAAAAAAAACCUAACUGAUAUUUCCUUCCUUCUCCCCUCUUUCUCUCUUCCUUUUGUUACACUGUUCUUAUCUUACCCUGAUACUGCCAAACCAGUUGAUCAUUGGGUCUAAAACUUCGAUCGAAGGUUCUCUACCUUUAGGUGAUUUAAAGCCUUGAAUAUCAUCUUCUAAGACAUCUCCAAUUGUGAGAAAUUGAAGCAGCAAUCAUGCUGUUCUUGAGUUUUCCUCUAGACCUGAAUAGCAGAGGAAUCGGUUCAUGUCCUGAUCUCGAUUUUGAGUGCUGCUUGUGCAGAAUCCAUAGGGCUUAGGAUUUGUGACCUUUUCCUUGAAGUCCCACGUCUAUCCGAUUCUUGUGGAGUGAGUUCUCUCACUCGAAAUCGAACCUGGUUUCUUGUCACUUCAAUUCCUGAACGUGAGCUGUAAGAAGACAAUUGAAAAUACCUUAAAACCUAAUUUCCCAGAAAUACCCUCCUUUAGGUUAUUUUGAUAUUGCCCUAAUUUUAUUAUCCCUUCCAAGUUUACCCCUUUUCCUAUUACGUUGCAUUCCACUUUGUUCUGGUUUCUUUAUGAUAUGAAGCUUCGCCAAAUUAUGGUAUUGCCAAAAAUUCUGAAAAAACAGGGUACCGCUGGGAGAAUUUUCCAGCAAUAUGUAGCAGGAAACAAGGACUUCGUUUACCCUCAACAUUGUAUAGAAGAAUCUUGCCAGUAGGGUUAACAACACCCUGAAGAAAUUAUUUUUGUGCUGUAACUUUUUAAGUAAUUAUUAUUCAUCAGUACAAUAUGCUGGUGUCAAUCAAGAUCAUAAUCCUGGUGAGCACAUGUGAUUGAUUGGAGUGGACCCCUAUGCCUUUUGGAUAUGUCAGUGGUUGUAGUAGAACUUUUAUUCUAUAUCACCAGGAACUGAAGUCAGAUUCUUGCAUGGCCUUCUGGAUAUGUCGUUGGCCAUAGUAUAAGUGUAUAACUUUUAUUCUAUAUUCCCAAGAACUGAAAUCCGAUUCUAGCAUGAUCAAUUGGUGUUGAGUGCGUGUAAUAUAUUGGGAAUGGCAGAUUAAUGGUGUCUUGAAUCAUGUUGGAUAUUUUUUCACGUCAUCUGUUGUAGUUGAAUGGUGGAAUGGUAAAGACUUAAAUAGGUUUAGUAUUUCUGCAUGGUCUGAUAUCUCCUGCUUUUGUGGUUCACAUUUGUUUUCUAGGUCUUGGAACUGUCGAACAUUUUUUUUUAAAUGUUUUUGACAGAUCAAGCAGUGCCAAUGAGGCGGAGCCCUGGGCACCACCAUCCCGACACUCUGAAUCGAAGAAGAGACCCAAGAUAGUGAGGUCCAGGCAUCCAGUAACAGAAAAUGCUGGUUGGUGGUGAUUGGUAACAUCUUAAACUGUUCUAGUGAGACUGAUAAUUUGUGGUUGGAGAAACAGGAAAGCCUUUGAGGUAAACAGCUAGAAAAAGGUGCCAUGUUUGAAGGUCUCUCUCCAUUUUUACGAAUCUAAUAUUGAUGCUAAUUGUAAACCAUCAUUUUAAUCAUUUAAUUUAUUCAAUUGAUUCAUUUGUUACACCUCAA